GACGAACCGUGCGAACGUUGUUUGGAAUCACUGGGCUUAAAGGGCGCGUAGGCGGGCUGCCAAGUCUGCGGUGAAAUCCUCCAGCUUAACUGGAGAACGGCCGCGGAUACUGGCGGUCUCGAGGGGGAUAGGGGCAAGCGGAACUGUGCGUGGAGCGGUGAAAUGCGUUGAUAUGCACAGGAACUCCGGUGGCGAAGGCGGCUUGCUGGAUCUCUUCUGACGCUGAGGCGCGAAAGCUAGGGGAGCGAACGGG
rnacentral:rRNA from 1 species